rnacentral:rRNA from 1 species
UACGUAGGGUGCGAGCGUUGUCCGGAAUUACUGGGCGUAAAGAGCUCGUAGGUGGUUUGUCGCGUUGUUCGUGAAAUCUCACGGCUUAACUGUGAGCGUGCGGGCGAUACGGGCAGACUAGAGUACUGCAGGGGAGACUGGAAUUCCUGGUGUAGCGGUGGAAUGCGCAGAUAUCAGGAGGAACACCGGUGGCGAAGGCGGGGUCUCUGGGCAGUAACUGACGCUGAGGAGCGAAAGCGUGGGGAGCGAACAGG